rnacentral:rRNA from 1 species
GCGCGAUACAGGGUGACAGCCCCGUACACAAAAAUGCACAUGCUGUGAGCUCGAUGAGUAGGGCGGGACACGUGGUAUCCUGUCUGAAUAUGGGGGGACCAUCCUCCAAGGCUAAAUACUCCUGACUGACCGAUAGUGAACCAGUACCGUGAGGGAAAGGCGAAAAGAACCCCGGCGAGGGGAGUGAAAAAGAACCUGAAACCGUGUACGUACAAGCAGUGGGAGCACAGAGCAAUCUGUGUGACUGCGUACCUUUUGUAUAAUGGGUCAGCGACUUAUAUUCUGUAGCAAGGUUAACCGAAUAGGGGAGCCGAAGGGAAACCGAGUCUUAACUGGGCGUUAAGUUGCAGGGUAUAGACCCGAAACCCGGUGAUCUAGCCAUGGGCAGGUUGAAGGUUGGGUAACACUAACUGGAGGACCGAACCGACUAAUGUUGAAAAAUUAGCGGAUGACUUGUGGCUGGGGGUGAAAGGCCAAUCAAACCGGGAGAUAGCUGGUUCUCCCCGAAAGCUAUUUAGGUAGCGCCUCGUGAAUUCAUCUCCGGGGGUAGAGCACUGUUUCGGCAAGGGGGUCAUCCCGACUUACCAACCCGAUGCAAACUGCGAAUACCGGAGAAUGUUAUCACGGGAGACACACGGCGGGUGCUAACGUCCGUCGUGAAGAGGGAAACAACCCAGACCGCCAGCUAAGGUCCCAAAGUCAUGGUUAAGUGGGAAACGAUGUGGGAAGGCCCAGACAGCCAGGAUGUUGGCUUAGAAGCAGCCAUCAUUUAAAGAAAGCGUAAUAGCUCACUGGUCGAGUCGGCCUGCGCGGAAGAUGUAACGGGGCUAAACCAUGCACCGAAGCUGCGGCAGCGACGCUUAUGCGUUGUUGGGUAGGGGAGCGUUCUGUAAGCCUGUGAAGGUGUGCUGUGAGGCAUGCUGGAGGUAUCAGAAGUGCGAAUGCUGACAUAAGUAACGAUAAAGCGGGUGAAAAGCCCGCUCGCCGGAAGACCAAGGGUUCCUGUCCAACGUUAAUCGGGGCAGGGUGAGUCGACCCCUAAGGCGAGGCCGAAAGGCGUAGUCGAUGGGAAACAGGUUAAUAUUCCUGUACUUGGUGUUACUGCGAAGGGGGGACGGAGAAGGCUAUGUUGGCCGGGCGACGGUUGUCCCGGUUUAAGCGUGUAGGCUGGUUUUCCAGGCAAAUCCGGAAAAUCAAGGCUGAGGCGUGAUGACGAGGCACUACGGUGCUGAAGCAACAAAUGCCCUGCUUCCAGGAAAAGCCUCUAAGCAUCAGGUAACAUCAAAUCGUACCCCAAACCGACACAGGUGGUCAGGUAGAGAAUACCAAGGCGCUUGAGAGAACUCGGGUGAAGGAACUAGGCAAAAUGGUGCCGUAACUUCGGGAGAAGGCACGCUGAUAUGUAGGUGAAGUCCCUCGCGGAUGGAGCUGAAAUCAGUCGAAGAUACCAGCUGGCUGCAACUGUUUAUUAAAAACACAGCACUGUGCAAACACGAAAGUGGACGUAUACGGUGUGACGCCUGCCCGGUGCCGGAAGGUUAAUUGAUGGGGUUAGCGCAAGCGAAGCUCUUGAUCGAAGCCCCGGUAAACGGCGGCCGUAACUAUAACGGUCCUAAGGUAGCGAAAUUCCUUGUCGGGUAAGUUCCGACCUGCACGAAUGGCGUAAUGAUGGCCAGGCUGUCUCCACCCGAGACUCAGUGAAAUUGAACUCGCUGUGAAGAUGCAGUGUACCCGCGGCAAGACGGAAAGACCCCGUGAACCUUUACUAUAGCUUGACACUGAACAUUGAGCCUUGAUGUGUAGGAUAGGUGGGAGGCUUUGAAGUGUGGACGCCAGUCUGCAUGGAGCCGACCUUGAAAUACCACCCUUUAAUGUUUGAUGUUCUAACGUUGACCCGUAAUCCGGGUUGCGGACAGUGUCUGGUGGGUAGUUUGACUGGGGCGGUCUCCUCCUAAAGAGUAACGGAGGAGCACGAAGGUUGGCUAAUCCUGGUCGGACAUCAGGAGGUUAGUGCAAUGGCAUAAGCCAGCUUGACUGCGAGCGUGACGGCGCGAGCAGGUGCGAAAGCAGGUCAUAGUGAUCCGGUGGUUCUGAAUGGAAGGGCCAUCGCUCAACGGAUAAAAGGUACUCCGGGGAUAACAGGCUGAUACCGCCCAAGAGUUCAUAUCGACGGCGGUGUUUGGCACCUCGAUGUCGGCUCAUCACAUCCUGGGGCUGAAGUAGGUCCCAAGGGUAUGGCUGUUCGCCAUUUAAAGUGGUACGCGAGCUGGGUUUAGAACGUCGUGAGACAGUUCGGUCCCUAUCUGCCGUGGGCGCUGGAGAACUGAGGGGGGCUGCUCCUAGUACGAGAGGACCGGAGUGGACGCAUCACUGGUGUUCGGGUUGUCAUGCCAAUGGCACUGCCCGGUAGCUAAAUGCGGAAGAGAUAAGUGCUGAAAGCAUCUAAGCACGAAACUUGCCCCGAGAUGAGUUCUCCCUGAC